rnacentral:tRNA from 1 species
GAGCUGAUUGGCAAGGGCAAGGCGCUCGCCGCUGAUCUCGGCACGGAGGUCACAGCCGUUCUGCUCGGCUAUCAGGUCG